AGGACGAACGCUGGCGGCGUGCUUAACGACAUGCAAGUCGAACGGAAAGGCCCUUUCGGGGGUACUCGAGUGGCGAACGGGUGAGUAACACGUGGGUGAUCUGCCCUGCACUUUGGGAUAAGCCUGGGAAACUGGGUCUAAUACCGAAUACACCUUGCUGGCUGCAUGGCCUGGUGGGGGAAAGCUUUUGCGGUGUGGGAUGGGCCCGCGGCCUAUCAGCUUGUUGGUGGGGUGAUGGCCUACCAAGGCGACGACGGGUAGCCGGCCUGAGAGGGUGUCCGGCCACACUGGGACUGAGAUACGGCCCAGACUCCUACGGGAGGCAGCAGUGGGGAAUAUUGCACAAUGGGCGCAAGCCUGAUGCAGCGACGCCGCGUGAGGAUGACGGCCUUCGGUUGUAACCUCUUUCAGUAUCGACGAAGCGCAAGUGACGGUAGGUACAGAAGAAGCACCGGCCAACUACGCGCCAGCAGCCGCGGU
rnacentral:rRNA from 1 species